UACGAAGGGGGCUAGCGUUGUUCGGAAUUACUGGGCGUAAAGCGCGCGCAGGCGGUUCUUCAAGUCAGAGGUGAAAGCCCAGAGCUCAACUCUGGAAUGGCCUUUGAGACUAGAGAACUUGGGUACGGGAGAGGUGAGUGGAAUUCCGAGUGUAGAGGUGAAAUUCGUAGAUAUUCGGAAGAACACCAGUGGCGAAGGCGGCUCACUGGCCCGUUACCGACGCUCAGGCGCGACAGCGUGGGGAGCAAACAGGG
rnacentral:rRNA from 1 species